rnacentral:rRNA from 1 species
UACAGAGGUCUCAAGCGUUGUUCGGAUUCAUUGGGCGUAAAGGGUGCGUAGGCGGCGCGGUAAGUCGGGUGUGAAAUCUCGGAGCUUAACUCCGAAACUGCAUUCGAUACUGCCGUGCUUGAGGACUGGAGAGGAGACUGGAAUUCCCAGUGUAGCGGUGAAAUGCGUAGAUAUUGGGAGGAACACCGGUGGCGAAGGCGGCCCCCUGGACCGGUACUGACGCUGAGGCGCGAAAGCGUGGGUAGCAAACGGG